CCUACGGGAGGCAGCAGUGAGGAAUAUUGGUCAAUGGGCGGGAGCCUGAACCAGCCAAGCCGCGUGAGGGAAGAAGGUACAGCGUAUCGUAAACCUCUUUUGUCAGGGAACAAAGGCGGGGACUAGUCCCCGGAUGAGGGUACCUGAAGAAAAAGCAUCGGCUAACUCCGUGCCAGCAGCCGCGGUAAUAGGGAGGAUGCGAGCGUUAUCCGGAUUUAUGGGGUUAAAAGGGUGCGCGGGGGGCCUGUUAAGUCAGCGGUAAAAGCCCGGGGCUCAAGCCGGGCGAGCGGUUGAAACGGGCGGGCUGGAGUUGGAGAGAAGUACGCGGAAUGCGCGGUGUAGCGGUGAAAUGCUUAGAUAUCGGGCAGAACCCCGAUGGCGAAGGCAGCGUACCGGCUCCACACUGACGCUGAGGAACGAAAGCGUGGGUAUCGAACAGGAUUAGAUACCCCUGUAGUC
rnacentral:rRNA from 1 species